UUGAAUGAAAUAAUAACCUCAAACCCAAAAAUCUUUCUCUCACCCGAGAAAACCCAACCCAUCACUCCUUCUCUCUCCAUGUGAAGACCCAAACCCCAAAACCCAAUUUUCUCUCUCUCCUUGUUGUUCUUAUCGGUGUCCCCAACCCGCCGGACCUGCUGUCGCUUUAUCAGUUCUUUCUCUCACUGGAACUUUCUUUAUCCUCUGUCGUGCAACCUUGUGCGGUCACCGUAGGCACAACUCUACUUCUUCCCUCUUCGAUCUCCCUCCCCAGAUUCGUUCUGGCUUGCUGCUGCAUCGAGAUCAUGUGAACGUCGCACCGCCUGCGGGAACCGCAUGCUGCUGCUUGCAUCUCGCCAAAUUACGUUACCCCUGCCUUGUUGCGUGGUUCCACGCUGCUCUUGUGAGCAGAUCAGCAGAGGUGAAUGGUGGUGGAAUGUUCGAUCUAGUGUUGGUGGUCGAUGAUUAUUUUUAAUGAUUUAUUAAGGACUGUAUUGCUUUUUCAGGUAACUUUUAUGUUCAGUAAUAUAAUUUACUUAUGCUCAUGUGUGUGUGAAUCUGAAUGUUAUAUUUUCGUAUAUAAGUUCGCACUAUGGCUAUAGUUAUAAUUGUGUUGUUGAAAUGUCAUUGAUUAUAUGAAUACGCAAUUUUUUUACUGGCUUAGUUUAUGAACUGAAAAUAGAAAGUUGGCAAGGUAUGGGUGGAGGUGAUAAAAGUCAAGGUCAAGGUCAAGCUCCUAAGUCAACUGAUGAAAAGGAACUUAUGUGUCUAGUUCAGGGAGUACUUGGAUUCAAGCUUAAUUGAAACUCCUCAUUUGUGACAAUGCGUGAGUGGGAGAAUAAUUCAAUCAAUGAAGCAUGACUUGGCACCAUUUCUAGAGUCUUAGUUAAUUUUAAUUCUAAUUAAGUCUUUUAGAUCAGCAAAUAAGUAGUCCGAAAAUAUCUUGUUGAAUUUUCGACCAGCUUAGGGUAUUUUUAGUGUCCUUGUGUUCCAAGUAUGCAAGUUGGCCUUGAGUUGUAUUAAUUUCCUUAAGUAUAUUAGACGUCUAAGGGGGAAUUAGGGCUGAUUUGGAGUUCCUUUGAGUACUCCUUUAUCCUCUCCAAGAAUCAAGGGAUUAUGAUGCAAGGUGCCAGGUUGUAUUUGCUUAAAUACUUGGCUGAAAUUUUCGGUUAUUGUGGUGCUUGGAGGACAAGUUUAUUCUUUUUGUUGUUUCAUUAUUUUGAUAAUGACAAAUAAUUAAACUUUAUUUGAUUUUAGUUUAUGUUAUUCGUAUGUUUCUA